UUCAUUGGUAGGGUAACACAUGUUCUCCCAAGAACUCCAAUGAUAGUUAUCUUUUUUAAUUGAGGAUCCCCAAAAAAAUCUUGCAAAAUGCCUCUCCAUUUGUUUGAUAAUCCUUUUGGAGCAGUAAAAGUAGUGAGUGUGUAGAUAGAAGAUUAAAGCACGUGUUUGAUCAAAAUGUAUUUUUCUACGUAGGAGAGGAUUCUACUUUGCC
rnacentral:lncRNA from 1 species